rnacentral:rRNA from 1 species
GUUAAAAAGCUCGUAGUUGAAUUUCGGGGUUAGUAGGUUGGUCAUGCCUCUGGUAUGUACUGGUCUCACUGAUUCCUCCUUCCUUAUGAACCGUAAUGCCAUUAAUUUGGUGUUGCGGGGAAUUUGGACUGUUACUUUGAAAAAAUUAGAGUGUUUAAAGCAAGCUAACGCUUGAAUACAUUAGCAUGGAAUAAUGAAAUAGGACGUUCGAUCUUAUUUUGUUGGUUUCUAGGAUUGACGUAAUGAUUAAUAGGGAUAGUUGGGGGCAUUAGUAUUCAAUUGUCAGAGGUGAAAUUCUUGGAUUUAUUGAAGACUAACUACUGCGAAAGCAUUUGC